AGCAGCGUGUGAACAGGACUUUUAAUUUGAUCUGGUGUGGUGACGUCAUAGAGCUGCGCCGCGCUCCUGCAUUUGUUUCAGCUGAAGAAAGACGCAGCAGCGUGUGAACAGGACUUUUAAUUUGAUCUGGUGUGGUGACGUCAUAGAGCUGCGCCGCGCUCCUGCAUUUGUUUCAGCUGAAGAAAGACGCAGCAGCGUGUGAACAGGACUUUUAAUUUGAUCUGGUGUGGUGACGUCAUAGAGCUGCGCCGCGCUCCUGCAUUUGUUUCAGCUGAAGAAAGGACAAAGUGUUCAAACAUACAGAAAAACUCCUGGUGAAGCAACUGAGAUCCACGUAAAACAUUAAUAUAAAGAUGGCAUUUAUUAAAGAGGAGAGUGAAGACAUGAAGAUUGAAGAAACAUUCAGAGUCAAACAUGAAGAUACUGAGGAACAAACAACAAUGGCGUUUAUUAAAGAGGAGAGUGAAGACAUGAAGACUGAAGAAACAUUCAGAGUCAAACAUGAAGAUACUGAGGAACAAACAACAAUGGCGUUUAUUAAAGAGGAGAGUGAAGACAUGGGGAUUGAAACAUUCAGAGUCAAACAUGAAGAUACUGAGGAGCAAACAAGGAUGUUGUUUAUUAAAGAGGAGAGUAAAGUCAUUAAGACUGAAGAAACAUUCAGAGUCAAACAUGAAGAUACUGAGGAACAA